CCUACGGGUGGCAGCAGUGGGGAAUAUUGGACAAUGGGGGGAACCCUGAUCCAGCCAUGCCGCGUGUGUGAAGAAGGCCCUCGGGUUGUAAAGCACUUUCAGUGAGGAAGAACGCCUGGUGGUUAAUACCCAUCAGGAAAGACAUCACUCACAGAAGAAGCACCGGCUAACUCCGUGCCAGCAGCCGCGGUAAUACGGAGGGUGCGAGCGUUAAUCGGAAUUACUGGGCGUAAAGCGCGCGUAGGUGGCUUGAUAAGCCGGUUGUGAAAGCCCCGGGCUCAACCUGGGAACGGCAUCCGGAACUGUCAAGCUAGAGUGCAGGAGAGGAAGGUAGAAUUCCCGGUGUAGCGGUGAAAUGCGUAGAGAUCGGGAGGAAUACCAGUGGCGAAGGCGGCCUUCUGGACUGACACUGACACUGGGGUGCGAAAGCGUGGGUAGCAAACAGGAUUAGAUACCCCUGUAGUC
rnacentral:rRNA from 1 species